UUUCAUCGUAAUUUAUGUAUUUGUAAUAUUAUGUGUAACUGUUUCUUUAUUGUUGUGUCAUUUAUUCCUGUAACGUUUGUUAAUUGGUCGACCGCUUUGUUGUCAUUUAACGUUCGUCCAAUGGGGGGAUACCGGGGUGGGACACGCAGUGGGCAGGUUAGACAAACACGGAAGACACGGGUGAUUUCGCUGCUAUGCCAGAGUAUUGUUCUCCUGCCAGGAUAGACGCAGAGUUUAUCAACGGUGUACGGACAUACAAAAGCAUACAGAAGAGUACAGGACCAGAAUACACUUCAUGGACCUGGUUUGGCCUCUGAGCUGUGAGCGGCGGGUAUCGGCUGUGAGCGGGUCAAGGCUGCGGUCACGGCUUUUCUCUUUUCCCUCAUCAUCAUCAUCAUCAUCCAUCCAUCCAUCAAUAACCUCCUUAUUCCCCUCCCAUCAUCUCCACACAUAUCACACGCUAACUGAGGACGGACAGUCCACGGACUGAAACCAGAGGGCACUCCGACAUCACACCACCUCUGCAAUAUUCAUGCUGCUUGCACCGGAUUGGCUGCUGAACCGGGGGCAUGAGCUCAAAGGGAUGAGGAGAGUGCGGAGAGUGUGAGUGAGGUGUGUUACAGGGCUGAGUGGAGCUCAGCGUGGUGAUUACUGGAGCCCCUAAUUUGAGUAAUGAGGCUGGGGUUAGAGGAGAAGUGAGGUCCGUGAGCGAAGCAAAGAGCGACGUGUAAGGAAUGGCGAUAGGGAGCUGUGGGUGAGGAGAAAGUGCUGUGGAGCUGCACGGAGGAGAGUGGGAGACGAGGGAUGUACAGUAUGUUAGCGUCUGAUUCUGAUACGCACACUGGUCCAAACGCUGAUACACUCAACAAAAACAUGCGACCUCCAUCAUCACCUUUUCUUUCUUUACCUACUGUAAUGUAUGGGGGCCAACAUGUCCUAGUUUUCACUGUAUUAUUAGUUUUUUUUGGUCCUCACAAAGAUAAGUACACACACGUCCUGUUCAACUUAAGUGUCAGCCUUGUGAGCAAACAGGACUACCCGCCCUCCAUCCAUCCUCCGGCCAUUCCACAGCGACAGACUCUGAAAUUUUUGCGAGGCUGAAACAGCGACAGACAGCUGACGUUGACGGCGGUUAAUUAAGAAACCUGCCCGGGAAUCAAACACUCUCAAAAUCCAUGGCAGACGACAGAGGAGCCUAACGAUUAUGGAAAUGAUAUUACAUAGCCUUCUUUGAUCAUUGCAUCACAUUGCAUUUUUCCUCAUCAUCUCUUAACACAUGUGGGACUCUGUCAUGUUCGGCAAUGAAUUUGGUCACAGAGGAGAAUGGCCUGAUCAAUAAAGAUAGUCUGAAAACACUUUUAUCAUUAGUGCAUGGCAACACAAAAGACUUAAGGAUAUUAUUAUAGAUGGUUGUAACCGACUCAGGGAUACAGUAAUGACUAUAAGAAGCGAAAGAGAAAAAAGUUAAUUUUCAGUUUGACACAGUGAAUUAGUGCCAUGGGGGAAUAAACAAUACACGACAUAAUUAAAGAUGUAUCCAAGCAAUAGGUUUCCACAUGACAAUGUCCUGAAAUCAAUCCCAGCUGAAAACAGCAAGUGAGGCUAAAACAUGUCCUGGUGGCUCAGUUCAGCACUACAAACCCAUGACCACAGGCUUUCAGAUCCCAGCUUAUGUUGUACUUCUGCAGAUUUCUCUGCUUACUUUCCUGCCUCACUUGAGCGAAACCAUAACAAAAUAUUCUAACAGUGAGUUGCCUAUGACCGACUGAAUUGGUUGUCUAAUUCCAAGCAGGAUUUUUUUUUUACCAUGAAAUUUACAAUUUACAAUUACUGCUCAUGAGCUGCCUUAUAUAUUUAUUUUUUCCCCCCUCUUUCCAUGUGCAAAUGUCAAGAUGACCGUCCAGUGUUGGUGUUGCAUGCUUUGUGUGUAACACUAACUUUUGAUUUAGAAGAACAGGAAGUCAGGAGUCAAAAACACAGAAAGUAGGACAGCUCUAUCAAUGUCACAACACUUCACUAAAGUUUGCUUUUCUUCCAUUCUUCCAUUAAAGCGCAGAGAACUUUCCCUGCCGCACGAUUGAAGUAGAACGCAGCCUCUUUGUCCCCAUUGAUCCUUAAUAAACCAUUCUCACUGUUGCAGGGUUGACUUGGCUGCUCUGGGAUCUGCCCCAAAACAUGUACACACACACCAUUCAACACAGAACCAUGUCACUGAGCUGCCACUCAAUCAUGGAUCACCAAGGGGACCCCAGAUCGAGAAGGCAAUACAUCAGCCUCACUCCUCUAACCUCCCAGCGCUGUAUGUUUCUAACACAUUGAAAGACAGCAAGGCAGGAAUCAAAGUCGAUGAGUCUCAGGGCUGGAAACGGAGCACAAUGUAAUAUUGAUGGUAUGAGGACACACACGUGCACACUCGCAACAGCUCUCUGGAGGUACUGGUAGACACUUGCUCCUCAUGGCACAGGGCUCAGACUUGAUUGACACGUACACGCGCGGUGGGCACUACACUCAGGGGGUCGCUUUUAUUUAACAAUGCGCACUCUUUCAUAUGUGACGGGGAGUGUUAACUGCACUCUCUGCUUAUCUCAAGCAUCUGGCAUAAAGCAGAUGAGCAGCGCCAACUCUGCCUAAUUCUCAGAGCCAUCUGGCAGUGCUUUUUUUAGGAAUCACAAGUAACCAAAACAAUUUUGAAAGUAUCAUAUUAUCUACACAGCACUUGAUCGAAAAAGCAUUUGUGGAACUUACAGGACUGAGCUCACAGUUUCAGUGAUUCAAAGAUUCUUUAAGUAGCAUGAAUCCAGAAUGUAUUUCAGGUGAUCCAAGACGGUUUGCAACAGGGACACCUCAUAGAUAUAAGGGCUAGAGUAAGCCAACCCUAAACUUAACAAUUACAACUAACCCUUUACCCUAAACUUGAUUCUAACCCUAAAACCAGGUCUUAACCCUAAAAAAGCCCUUUAAAGUUGUGGAGAAAUGUCGCCACAGAGAUGCAUAUAAAUACAAGUACACACACACACACACACACAGACACAUAACCCCACAUUGCUCCUGACGCCUCUACCAGCAGUGUGUAAAUGGGUGUAAAAGAUAUAGGUACACAUAGUUGAGCUGCAUGAAUUUGUGUGAAUGGGUGAAUGACUAGACUAGAAAGAUAAAUUACAUAAAAACAUACCACUUCCAUUCAUUUGGACAACAUAAGCAAAGCCUUAUCCCUAAUUUGAACCAUAACCAUUUUGAUUUGAAUGACUAACUAUUACCAUAACCUAACCACAGUUCAAAUCCUGGCCAAAAACAUAAAUAGUUCCUCAGAAAUCAGGUUCUGCCUCAUUAGGACCAGGUUUCGGUCCCCAGGAGGGCUACUGGUCCUGACAAGGCCAGCGUUUAUGCCAGAAAAGGUGCUAAAGAGGGAACAAAUACAGCACAAAACAACCAGGACAGCCCACAAAGGGCUGCAUCCAAUCUAAAUUUAAAAUAUUAAAACAAACAAAAUAGGACCAAUGGCUCUAAUGCUGUCAGUCAACACUUUGUCCACUGCCUUCUGUGCCUAAGCGCUCCACGUUGUGAUCUUCCUACAAAAAAAAAAAACACUAAGCACUGUUUAUCUUGUUCUGCCACUCAGGCAACUGAGAAGCACCACUGAGGCGUUUGUGUGGCCUUGUCUACUCUGAUAAGCUGUGCUUUCUCUUGCUAUCCAGCGCAGGAUUGAUGGAGUGACAAGGCAACGUGUAAGAGAGUGUUGCGACGUGUUGCGUUGCCCGCCUGGGCAGCGAGGGGGACAGGGGCUCCUUCUCUACGACUAACUCCGCUGUCACAUUGAUGAAGGACGGAUUGGCUCUGGUCUGAUCUGAGCACUUCAUCAUGGUGAUGUAUGGAGCAACAGGCCCGGCUCCAGUGUGUGUGUGUGUGUGUGUGUGUGUGUGAGUGUGUAUACACCUCUGUGGCUCUUUGGCUAAAUGUUUUUCCUCCUUUAAGUGCCUUUGCUCGGCUCUCCUUUUCUCUCCAUUGGAUUUACAUCACAGCGCAGGUGGCUCGUAUUAUUCCUUAAAUUCCAUUCAUGACUUCAUGGAGAAUCACUCGCCAAGGUGGAGUUGUUUAUUCCGUCUGUCUCACAUUUAAAUGCACAACAUGAAGGACAAAGGAGGGGCUAAUUUUACAGUGGGCAACACACUGAAAUACUGACACAAGUGGAACAAGUAUUCAGACUCUAAAUUUAGGGGAAAGUAUUACUAGUUUUAGUCCUGCUUGCAAAGUCCUUUGUAUUAGCAGCCAAAUGUAGUUCAACUAUAUUAAUAUUAAAGUAUUGGUUUAGUCCCUCUGACUUGAUGAGUAACAAGGACACAGCCUAUAUGCAGAAGGUUACUGUUGGUAGUUUGAUCUAGUUUUAUUAUGUCUUUUUCCCACACUGACUGACUGCGUCUUAACUUAAGUUCACAUGCAUUUAAAGGUCCACUUUGUAGAAAAUGAGUGAAAUCUAAUGCAUCUCAUCUGCUCACCUCUCUGUUUCCAACUGUAUCAGGGAAAAACAGAAACGAAACACUUUUUUUUCCACUUUUUCCAUUCUUUCCACCAUUUCCUCAUUCAUUGGUUGUUUAUGAAUCUGGUUUGUGUGGGCAGAGCUGCUCUUUGUUUGGAUGCUUUAAAAACUUGAAAUGCAUUCUCUCUGGCUUUUUUAUUUGGGCUGCUGUAGAAACAUGGUGGCACAAGAUGGAAGCCUCUAUAAAAUCCACAUACAAGGCUUUAUUCUAAGACGGGGAAAGCAGAAUGAAUUUUUUUUAUUUUGAAGCAGUUAUACACUUACAAACAUACUUAUUGGUAUUAAAUCAUCCUAAAUGUUGCACAGUGGGCCUUUACUCUCAGUCCAGUGCCACAUACAAUUUUAAAUCUGUCAGGUCAUGAUGAGAAGGAAUAAAAUGUUCUUAACACAUGUUUUUUGGACUUUCUCUCAAAGCUUGUUUCUUUUUGAUCAAAUGAAACAAAGUGAAAAGUUUAGAGGGAAAAUCACAGAGUGAACUCGCAGUAAUUUGACUUAAGUUGUCAAAUAAAUGCGACACAUCAGGAUGUGUCGUUUAUUUCUACUGAAAUGCGUAAAUGAAUAGUUGAAGUACGUGUCUCUCAAAGCUGACACUUGACUGAAAGUAAACGGAACAUAAAAGUUACUCUCCUCCACCACCGAAUGAUGUCAAGACUAGAAUAAAGGAUUCUACUAAUUAGCCUUAAAAACGGAAUAACCUCAUGAAACCAGGUGGCUGUACUUACUGCAGCGUACAGUAAAGUAAUGAGCAAUGUCGUGGCAUCUCAUUGUGAGCAAAGUAUCACAAGGUCUAGCGGUUUCCCGCCCCAGGCAAAGAGGCAACAGUAGCUUAGUUUAAAAAAGCCAUUUUAUAACUCGAUUGAAUUCUCUGUGCCAGUGUACACACGUUGACACACAUCCAUCUGACUCUGUUCUGUCCCCCCCCAACCCCCCCUCCCCCCGGGCCUUUCUCUGUGGGCUGGGUGUGGCCGUGUCUGUUCCCCUGGGUUGGGGUCCAGGGCUGAAAUCAGAUCAGAGGUUCAUUGUCUGGCGGGUAAGACGGGGAUUACUUUCCUAACCUUCUCAUACCUUCACGCAACAAUGAGGGAGGACAGAAUGAGUAAGUUGUUUAGAAAAAUCUCUCCUUACUCCAAAAAAAAAAAAACCCCAACAUCCAUCUGUUCCUUGUGUCCUCAUCUACAUCGACUCAAUGAGCCGGACCCCUCGACUGUGCUUGCAUAUGUGUGUGUGCGCGCGCGCUCUCUUUCUUUCGUCUGUCGUGUAUUCUUGUGUGUCUUAAAGGGGCCAGUGUGAGACAAAAAAAGAAAGAAAAAAAAAAUCCUGACACCACAGCUAACACCGCGUCGACCGAGAGAUGCCAUACAGUGAGACAAAAGAAACGCUCGCCUACAGGAAGCCUUGAAGCCGCAGCUCCUGUUUCUGUUAGCCGUUUGUCUGACAAGAAGAUUUCAUCUCACCUUGCCAUCAGAGGAGCAGCCUAAUAAAUACCGCAGCAAUAAAAAAACUCCUCUCAGACCAUGUUAGUCUGAUGUGCUUACAUCCCAUAACCAGUCUCACUGGUAAACAGAGUGGGAAAAUGUUGUGUUAGUUGAUGCGGCCAAUUAAUUAUAUUGCAAGUCAUUUAAAAAUCUAUAAAAGAAGUAUAAACCGGUUUAGGCUGUUUGAGAAAUUGUAAGUAUGGUAUUAAAAAAUGCAAUACGUGUAUUUCAAUUGCCUUGAGCGGUGUUAUAUUGGAGUCUUUUUUAAAAAAGGAGCUGUGUCUUAAAAAGGAGUAAAGCGUAAAUUAUGCAUAUCAUUUUCUCCCACCCUUUCCAUUUCUCUUCUUCAUUUUUUACACAGAAAAACAUGGCCGCAGUCCACACGUGCUUUGUCCCGCUUCCUCGGCUCUCCUCCCUGGAGGUGAUUCUCUCUCUCUCUCAGUCUCUCUCUGUGUCUCUCUCUCUUUCUCACACUGGCAGGCAGGAGGUGGAGGUGUCAGUGCUCAGUAGCCUGCCUGGGAGAGGCUCUGUCUGGGUGCUAGAAGGGGCAAGUCUCCUGUAUGUGUUGGUCUCCUCAUGGCUGAGGGCAAUUAAGUGUGUUAUCCUGAGCUGUGAUGUUGCUGCCCUGUCCUCCCUCUCACAGACUCUCUCGCUCUCUCUCUGGGUCAACCUGAAAAUGCCGAGCACUAACGAGCUGAAAGAGGACAAACCGCCGACACAUCCCUGAUCACAAACUGACUGCAGCUAUCAGAUGGUUGAUAUGUAGGUUAUUUUCCAAGCCCGUACCCUGUCUAGUGACCUAAAAUGAAAAUACACAGGCUGUCGGACAUUGGUCUCCUCUCCCUUGGCACAAGCUAUGCUCAGCAGCUACAGUAAAGCUUAACAUUACACUAGUAGAGUACCCAUGCUACUAAAUUUAUAAGUUCAACAUACAUGUCUUCAAUGUGGGCAUGAAGGCAUGAAUUAUCUUCAGUUCUUUAUGAAUUAAAUGAUUUCAUCGGUACAAAAGUGCAUGUAAUGAGUGCUUCGUUAGACUCAAUAAAUAAAUAUCAUGUGCAUUAAAUCACAUGUUUUUUACUCAUUUGCCGAUGCAAAAUGAUUAUGUCAUGAUGAAUGAAUGAAUGAAUGAAUGACUUUAUUCCUCCCCCGGGGGGGAAACACACAUUUACAACAGCUCAGUUAAGAUUCUGUCGGAUUCUGUAAUCUUCCGAUUGAGAAUUGUUCAUGUUGCAUGUCUUGAAUAAACCUGGUGUAAAAGACGCUUUUCACAGCAGCCAAUUUGAUAUGAAAUAGUAGGACUCUGAAUAUUUGACACCUAAGUUGUCCUUUUCUAAUAACUUUCUUUUUCUUUUUAAUACCACACACCUAUUCCUGGUAUUUUCUGGUUGUAUUCGAACAAAGAGAUUGAGACAUAAUUCUAUAUGGUCUUUAUAGCACUCCUAAAACUACAAAUCUAAUUGUGGCCUGAGACUUUUGCACAGUACAGUACUUUACCAGCUUUAUUUCUUAGGUUAUUAAAGUACAUUGUUGUGCAGUUGCUCUCUUGUUCUGCGCUUAACCAGUGAUACAGUAAGCAGUAUACUAAUUGUCUAAAUGCACACAUGCUUUGCCAUGCACUGUGUUGAAUCCUGGGAUUUGUUCUGUGAGAUGUUCAUGUUGUCAGUUUUGUACGCACCGAGCUCAAACUUCCAUUUUUGCCUUCCAAUAACGUAGAACAAAUAUGAUGCUGAAUUAGAGGCGCAGCGUCAAGCUACUUUAUAUACUACGUCUCCUGUCUGUAUCGAAACCUGAUAUUAUGGAACUUAAUCAAAGAUGAACCUCACAUUUCCUCAGAUUACAGAAAUUUUUAGUUUCUUCAGGAGGUUAAGAUAAAUGCAACUGAAAUAGUUAAGUUAAGUUUUUUUAUAUAUAUAUAUAUCUCAACAUAAUCUCUGUUGAAUACAACAGACAUGGCCUUUACUGAGCAGGAACCACUAUCUUAGAAAAAAGGAGAGUAUCUGGUGGAUAAUCUGUCACACACUUCUCAAGGCUGCCCCUUGCAGCUUCUGACAACUCGUAAUACAUCACUGACACUCACAGCAGUAGUAUCAUACCUUAGUUCUAUAAUAUAAUAUAUAAUAGCUGAGAUACACCUAGAUUUGUAUAUCAGAGUUUGUGGAGAAUGUUUCACAUGCAGAAUGGAUUUGAUGAAUGGGUGCAUUUUGUAGAUUUUAAGAGUCUUGUUUGUUUUAAUGCAGUGUGUAAUGUAUCAUGGUGUGCUGACAUGAUUCUGUAGUCAAAGUGUGGUGUGUUACCUGGACU